GCCUGGGUGGCUCAGUUGGUUAAGCAUCUGACUUCCGCUCAGAUCAUGAUCUCGCGGUUCAUGGGUUCGAGCCCCGUGCUGGGCU
rfam:Felis catus isolate Cinnamon breed Abyssinian chromosome X, whole genome shotgun sequence.